rnacentral:lncRNA from 1 species
UCCGGCGCCGCCGAGCUGCGCCCGCUGCCUUCACACCCCGGACAUCCGCGCCACACUGAUGGAUCCUAGAACCUGUUCUAGAAGGAGACGCUGAGUUCUCCCCACUCUACCUGGAGCUGCUGAGGUCAAGUGGAGAGUGCCGGGGCUGAAGCCCAGCGAGCCCCUCCCUGUCACACCACACUGCACAUGUGACACCAAAGGUGGGGUUCACCUCUUUUCAGACUUUCUGCGGUUGCCCUCACAUGGGCUGUCUGGAGGUGCACCCUCACUCUUCCUGAGGACUGUGGUUCCUUCUCCAUCACUGGUUCAUUCUGCAUGGUGUGACCCACCACGGCUCUGGAGUCGGAUUUCCACCCAGGUCAUUCAGCUGAGACCUGCGCUUCCCAGGCCUACCCGUGACAUGUGCUCAGUUACCUGAGCUGCUGGUGGUCACUCAUGUGGCUAUAGCCUGCUGCCUGGAGGCCAGGCCUCCCGCUUCCCCUGCCUCCCCCUCUCCUCACCACAGCCUGUUGGGAUGGAACAGGACAGGGGUGAGACCGUGGUGCUUUCACACUCAGCCUCCAUGGACAUCCUGUCAUUCCCACCCGGGGAGGUCUGGUCCCCACCCUGGGUGUCCCAGCCUAGCUCCGCUACGAGUGUGAGGGCCCAGGGCAACCGCCUAGCCCUCAUCUGCCCCCUGCACUGCAUCCUCCCCACUCAUUCAUUCCACAGGCAUUUAUUGAGCAUCUACUGUGUGCCAGAUGCAAAGAAGACAGUGGGAUAACUGGGCAAGGAGCAUUCCAGGCAGAGGGAACAGCCAGUGCAAACAUGGGAGAUGCGGGUGCAGUGAGAAGGAGCAGAGGAGACCAGGAGUUGAGGCGACUGCAGAGCGAUUGCAGAGCUCAUAGACGUGAUGAAGACCAGCUGGGCACUGCAGCGGCUCUGGCUUCUGCUGUGAGGGACGGGGAGCUGUGGAGACUCCCUCUGUUUGGUCCCAUUUCCAUAUUGCUGAGCACCUGCUGCAUGCUCUCUGUCCUGCUCAGAGCCAGUACCUGGAUGGAGGCUGUGUGUUCUGGG